AUGCAAGUCGAACGAAGUAGCAAUACUUAGUGGCAGACGGGUGAGUAACAUGUAGGUAUCUUCCCAUUGGUGAGGAAUAACACGAGGAAACCUGUGCUAAUACCUCAUAAGUCUUUACGGAGAAAGCUUUAUGCGCCGAUGGAUGAGCCUGCACUUGAUUAGUUUGUUGGUAGGGUAAUGGCCUACCAAGACAAUGAUCAAUAGCUGAUUUGAGAGGAUGAUCAGCCACAUUGGGACUGAGACACGGCCCAAACUCCUACGGGAGGCAGCAGUAGGGAAUCUUGCACAAUGGGGGAAACCCUGAUGCAGCGAUGCCGCGUGAGUGAAGAAGGCCUUUGGGUUGUAAAGCUCUUUCGUCGGGGAAGAAAAUGACUGUACCCGAAUAAGAAGGUCCGGCUAACUUCGUGCCAGCAGCCGCGGUAAUACGAAGGGACCUAGCGUAGUUCGGAAUUACUGGGCUUAAAGAGUUCGUAGGUGGUUAAAAAAGUUGGUGGUGAAAUCCCAGAGCUUAACUCUGGAACUGCCAUCAAAACUUUUUAGCUAGAGUAUGAUAGAGGAAAGCAGAAUUUCUAGUGUAGAGGUGAAAUUCGUAGAUAUUAGAAAGAAUACCAAUUGCGAAGGCAGCUUUCUGGAUCAUUACUGACACUGAGGAACGAAAGCAUGGGUAGCGAAGAGGAUUAGAUACCCUCGUAGUCCAUGCCGUAAACGAUGUGUGUUAGACGUUGGAAAUUUAUUUUCUGUGUCGCAGCGAAAGCAAUAAACACACCGCCUGGGGAGUACGACCGCAAGGUUAAAACUCAAAUGAAUUGACGGGGACCCGCACAAGUAGUGGAGCAUGUGGUUUAAUUCGAAGAUACGCGCAGAACCUUACCAACACUUGACAUGUUCGUCGCGACUUUAAGAGAUUAAAGUUUUCGGUUCGGCCGGACGAAACACAGGUGCUGCAUGGCUGUCGUCAGCUCGUGUCGUGAGAUGUUGGGUUAAGUCCCGCAACGAGCGCAACCCUCACUUUUAGUUGCCAUCAUUUAGUUGGGCACUCUGAAAGAACUGCCAGUGAUAAGCUGGAGGAAGGUGGGGAUGACGUCAAGUCCUCAUGGCCCUUACGUGUUGGGCUACACACGUGCUACAAUGGUAUUUACAAUAGGAAGCAAGACGGCGACGUUAAGCAAAUCCUAAAAAAAUGCCUCAGUUCGGAUUGUACUCUGCAACUCGAGUACAUGAAGCUGGAAUUACUAGUAAUCGCGGAUCAGCGCGCCGCGGUGAAUACGUUCCCGGGUCUUGUACACACCGCCCGUCACACCAUGGGAGUUGGUUCUACCUUAAGGCAAAGUUUAAUACCUUGACC
rnacentral:rRNA from 1 species